AUUGAACGCUGGCGGCAGGCCUAACACAUGCAAGUCGAGCGGUAGCACAGGGAGCUUGCUCCUGGGUGACGAGCGGCGGACGGGUGAGUAAUGUCUGGGAAACUGCCUGAUGGAGGGGGAUAACUACUGGAAACGGUAGCUAAUACCGCAUAACGUCGCAAGACCAAAGAGGGGGACCUUCGGGCCUCUUGACAUCAGAUGUGCCCAGAUGGGAUUAGCUAGUAGGUGGGGUAACGGCUCACCUAGGGGACGAUCCCUAGCUGGUCUGAGAGGAUGACCAGCCACACUGGAACUGAGACACGGUCCAGACUCCUACGGGAGGCAGCAGUGGGGAAUAUUGCACAAUGGGCGCAAGCCUGAUGCAGCCAUGCCGCGUGUAUGAAGAAGGCCUUCGGGUUGUAAAGUACUUUCAGCGGGGAGGAAGGCGAUAAGGUUAAUAACCUUGUCGAUUGACGUUACCCGCAGAAGAAGCACCGGCUAACUCCGUGCCAGCCGCCGCAGUAACAC
rnacentral:rRNA from 1 species